UCCGGGCGCGGUGGCGCGUGCCUGUAGUCCCAGCUACUACGGAGGCUGAGGCAGGAGGAUCGCUUGAGUUCAGAAGUGCUGGACUGUAGUGUGUUAUGCCGAUCGGGUGUCCGCACUAAGUUUGGCAUCAAUAUGUGACGUCCGGGAGCGGGGGGGGGGCACCAGGUUGCCUAAGGAGGGGUGAACCGGCCCAGGUCGGAAAUGGAGUAGGUCUAAACUCCAGUGCUGAUCAGAAAAUGAAAAACUCAGUGUAAUUUUAAUUUCCUUUCCACAUGCCAAGGUUUUGAUAUAUGUUUAAAAACCCUAUCUUU
ensembl:misc_RNA Metazoa_SRP Metazoan signal recognition particle RNA